UAAAAUAUUGUAUAUCUAUGCUCUAUAUAUAAAAUACAAUGUGGAAGAAGGUAGAGACUAAGAUGAAGACUUCUGAAUUUAUGGCCAUAUAUCCAAGCAUCGCUUUAGUCACAAUUUCAGUUUGCAAAUUAAUAAAUUUAAUUAAGAUGUAUAAACUUAUUGAACACUCCGGUUAGUGCUUGGUUUUCAAUGUUGUCGUUUGUAGUUGACAUUUCAACCGAAGGUACGACUUGGACAUAAUGUCGUGUAAUUUGGACAUAUAUAUCGGCUGGCUAGGUUGAAAUGGACAUUUUCCUCAACUUCAUUCUUUUCUCUCUCUUUUUAUCCAUUAUAAGAUGAUGG
rnacentral:lncRNA from 1 species